rnacentral:rRNA from 1 species
AUACGUAGGGUGCGAGCGUUGUCCGGAAUUAUUGGGCGUAAAGAGCUUGUAGGCGGUUUGUCGCGUCUGCUGUGAAAAUCCGGGGCUCAACCCCGGACUUGCAGUGGGUACGGGCAGGCUAGAGUGUGGUAGGGGAGACUGGAAUUCCUGGUGUAGCGGUGGAAUGCGCAGAUAUCAGGAGGAACACCGAUGGCGAAGGCAGGUCUCUGGGCCACUACUGACGCUGAGAAGCGAAAGCAUGGGGAGCGAACA